UGAUUGGCCACUAUUUCAGGAGAAAUUGAUUUUGUUAGUUUUGUUGAUUGUGAUACUGAUGUUACCUGUAUGUUGUGUGCAGAGUGCUGGUGAUAUAAUUAUGGAAGUUGUGGCACCACCAGUUGAAAGUAAUAAUUCAGAGGAAUCUGAAGUAUCAGAUGGCGAAUCUGUAGUUCUUCACAGUUUGACAGAAGCACUUAGUACACUGGAAGUAACAGUGUUACAUAAGAUCAAAAACAUUAGUGAUAACAAAAUGUGUACAUUAGUUGCAUAUGAAGGCUUAAUCUAUGAAUGUAGUAUUGCAUCCAAAAAACAAACUA
rnacentral:lncRNA from 1 species